AUAUUUUUAUCAUUUGGAAAAGCAGUGUGAAAAUUCUUCCUAACAUAUCCUCUUGUGUCCCACAGAAAAAAAAAAAGAAAAAGUCGUUUGGAACAUCAUAAAGUGAGAGAGUCUCUGUGGAAUCAUUAGUGACUGCGGCUCCGGUGUCCUCUGCCCAUCUCCUCGCUGAUCUGUGUGUUAAUUAUAUAUCAGUGUGACGGAGACCUGGGCUUGUUGCAGCUCUAACGAAGGCAAGGAUAUCAGCACCUUUAUAUGGAAGGUGUGUGUGACAGAGACGAUGUGACACGUGUGAUACAUUAAAAUGCAACGUGUGACAAAUUACAACUUCAUGAGAAAAAUAAUAACAUACAAGUUUGGGAAGACAUGGAGUGCUUUCACCUCUUCAAACCUCUUGACGCCCCGGAGCCAGGAUGUGGGGUUCGCUGAUGGCAAACACUCGACAGCUCCAGCAUUAGCAACAGUCUGACAGAUUUGAAGAUAUCAGAAACAGACACAGAAGGAAAACAUUCUUCAUUUGAGAACA